rnacentral:rRNA from 1 species
GUGAGGAAUAUUGCGCAAUGGAGGCAACUCUGACGCAGCCAUGCCGCGUGCAGGAAGAAGGCGCUACGCGUUGUAAACUGCUUUUAACCGGGAAGAAACCCCAGGACGUGUCCUGGGUUGACGGUACCGGAGGAAUAAGCACCGGCUAACUUCGUGCCAGCAGCCGCGGUAAUACGACGGGUGCAAGCGUUAUCCGGAUUCAUUGGGUUUAAAGGGUGCGUAGGCGGAGCGUUAAGUCAGUGGUGAAAUCCUGCAGCUUAACUGUAGACUUGCCAUUGAUACUGGCGCUCUUGAGUGCGCUUGAAGUGGGCGGAAUGUGCCGUGUAGCGGUGAAAUGCUUAGAUAUGGCACAGAACACCAAUUGCGAAGGCAGCUCACUAAGGCGAUACUGACGCUGGGGCACGAAAGCGUGGGGAUCGAACAGGAUUAGAAACCCGAGUAGUCC